UAAGGCCUGGUGGUGGAAUGGUAACACACCUGCUUGGAUUUUGGUUUCAGGGUACUUUCAGUGGGAGGUCCUUGUUCGAAUCAAGGUGCUUUAU